rnacentral:rRNA from 1 species
UCUUCCCUCUGGCGGCGUGCCUAAUACAUGCAAGUCGAGCGAACAGACGAGGAGCUUGCUCCUCUGACGUUAGCGGCGGACGGGUGAGUAACACGUGGAUAACCUACCUAUAAGACUGGGAUAACUUCGGGAAACCGGAGCUAAUACCGGAUAAUAUAUUGAACCGCAUGGUUCAAUAGUGAAAGACGGUUUUGCUGUCACUUAUAGAUGGAUCCGCGCCGCAUUAGCUAGUUGGUAAGGUAACGGCUUACCAAGGCAACGAUGCGUAGCCGACCUGAGAGGGUGAUCGGCCACACUGGAACUGAGACACGGUCCAGACUCCUACGGGAGGCAGCAGUAGGGAAUCUUCCGCAAUGGGCGAAAGCUUGACGGAGCAACGCCGCGUGAGUGAUGAAGGUCUUCGGAUCGUAAAACUCUGUUAUUAGGGAAGAACAAAUGUGUAAGUAACUAUGCACGUCUUGACGGUACCUAAUCAGAAAGCCACGGCUAACUACGUG